rnacentral:tRNA from 2 species
GCUGGAGUGGCGGAAUAGGUAGACGCCCAGGACUUAAGAUCCUGUGAGAGCAAUCUCGUGGGGGUUCGAGUCCCCCUUCCAGCACCA